CGAACGGAGAAUUGCUAGCUUGCUAAUAAUUCUCUAGUGGCGCACGGGUGAGUAACACGUGAGUACCUGCCCCCAAGAGUGGGAUAGCCCCGGGAAACUGGGAUUAAUACCGCAUAAAGCAAUAAAGCAGCAAUGCGCUUGGGGAUGGGCUCGCGUCCUAUUAGUUAGUUGGUGAGGUAACGGCUCACCAAGGCGAUGACGGGUAGCCGGUCUGAGAGGAUGUCCGGCCACACUGGAACUGAGACACGGUCCAGACACCUACGGGUGGCAGCAGUCGAGAAUCAUUCACAAUGGGGGAAACCCUGAUGGUGCGACGCCGCGUGGGGGAUAAGGUCUUCGGAUUGUAAACCCCUGUCAUGUGGGACAUUAAAAGAUAGUACCACAAGAGGAAGAGACGGCUAACUCUGUGCCAGCAGCCGCGGUAAUACAGAGGUCUCAAGCGUUGUUCGGAAUCACUGGGCGUAAAGCGUGCGUAGGCGGUUUCGUAAGUCGUGUGUGAAAGGCGGGGGCUCAACCCCCGGACUGCACAUGAUACUGCGAGACUAGAGUAAUGGAGGGGGAACCGGAAUUCUCGGUGUAGCAGUGAAAUGCGUAGAUAUCGAGAGGAACACUC
rnacentral:rRNA from 1 species